GUAGUGGUGACUUGGAUAUUCCGAUGAAGAAGCUGGUGGGGGCCUGAGUCACGAAUCUCUAUUCUUCCAAAAUAAACAUGUACAAUAGGAGGUUGAACAGUUAUUGAUGAAGUAGGAGGAAUCUGUGGACUAGACACUUGUUUAAUAGUGUAAAAUAAGAGAAUAUCUUCCUCCUCCGGACUCUCAUAAAUAAAUGAGGGAGGAAAGAAUGGAGCAGACUAAAAAAAGUAGCAUCUGAAGACACAAUGUAGUGAUUUAGAGUAGGAGAGAAACAUUGUAUCCUUUUUGAAGACAAGAAUGCCCAAGGAAAG
rnacentral:misc_RNA from 1 species